rnacentral:rRNA from 1 species
AACGUAGGUUCCGAGCGUUAUCCGGAUUUACUGGGCGUAAAGCGUGUUCAGGCGGUUUGGCAAGUCAGGCAUGAAAUCUCUCGGCUCAACCGGGAGAGGUUGUCCGAUACUUCCAGACUUGAGGGCAGGAGAGGGUGGUGGAAUUCCGGGUGUAGUGGUGAAAUGCGUAGAUAUCCGGAGGAACACCAGUGGCGAAAGCGGCCCCCUGGACUGCACCUGACGCUGACACGCGAAAGCGUGGGGAGCAAACAGG